rnacentral:rRNA from 1 species
AGAGUUUGAUCCUGGCUCAGAUUGAACGCUGGCGGUAUGCUUAACACAUGCAAGUCGAACGGUAACAGGCCUUCGGGCGCUGACGAGUGGCGGACGGGUGAGUAAUGUGUAAGAACUUGCCUUACGAUGGGGGAUAGCUUAGGGAAACUUAAGGUAAUACCGCGUAUGCCUACGGGUAAAAGCUGGGGUAACCUGGCGUCGUAAGAUAGGCUUACAUCAGAUUAGCUAGUUGGGGGGGUAAAGGCCCACCAAGGCGAAGAUCUGUAGCUGGUCUGAGAAGAUGAUCAGCCACACUGGGACUGAGACACGGCCCAGACUCCUACGGGAGGCAGCAGUGGGGAAUAUUGGACAAUGGGCGAAAGCCUGAUCCAGCAAUACCGCGUGUGUGAAGAAGGCCUGCGGGUUGUAAAGCACUUUCAGAGAGGAGAAAGCUACGUAGGUUAAGAGCUAAUGUAGUUGAUGUUACUUUCAGAAGAAGCACCGGCUAACUCUGUGCCAGCAGCCGCGGUAAUACAGAGGGUGCGAGCGUUAAUCGGAAUAAUUGGGCGUAAAGGGUGCGUAGGCGGAUUUUUAAGUCAGAUGUGAAAGCCCCGGGCUCAACCUGGGAAUGGCAUUUGAUACUGGAAGUCUAGAGUAGAGAAGAGGAGAGUGGAAUUUCAGGUGUAGCGGUGAAAUGCGUAGAUAUCUGAAAGAACACCAGUGGCGAAGGCGGCUCUCUGGUCUCAUACUGACGCUGAGGCACGAAAGCGUGGGGAGCAAACAGGAUUAGAUACCCUGGUAGUCCACGCUGUAAACGAUGAUAACUAGAUGUCAGGGUCGUAAAGACUUUGGUAUCGCAGCUAACGCAUUAAGUUAUCCGCCUGGGGAGUACGGUCGCAAGACUGAAACUCAAAGGAAUUGACGGGGGCCCGCACAAGCGGUGGAGCAUGCGGUUUAAUUCGAUGCAACGCGAAGAACCUUACCUACCCUUGAAUCCACGGAAUCUGUACGAGAGUACGGAGUGCCUUCGGGAACCGUGAGACAGGUGCUGCAUGGCUGUCGUCAGCUCGUGUCGUGAGAUGUUGGGUUAAGUCCCGUAACGAGCGCAACCCUUGUCCUUAGUUGCCAGCAAGAAAGUUGGGGAAUCUAAGGAGACUGCCGAUGAUAAAUCGGAGGAAGGCGGGGACGAUGUCAAGUCAUCAUGGCCCUUACGGGUAGGGCUACACGCGUGCUACAAUGGCCGGUACAAAGGGUUGCCAACCCGCGAGGGGGAGCUAAUCUCAAAAAGCCGGUCUCAGUUCGGAUUGGAGUCUGCAACUCGACUCCAUGAAGUUGGAAUCGCUAGUAAUCGUGAAUCAGAAUGUCGCGGUGAAUACGUUCCCGGGCCUUGUACACACCGCCCGGGGUAUCGUGACUGGGAAAC